UACGAAGGGGGCGAGCGUUAUUCGGAAUCACUGGGCGUAAAGCGUACGUAGGCGGUUUGACAAGUUAGAAGUGAAAGCCCAGGGCUCAACCUUGGAAUUGCUUUUAAAACUGUCAGACUAGAAUUUGGUAGAGGGCAGUGGAAUUAUCAGUGUAGCAGUGAAAUGCGUAGAUAUUGAUAGGAACACCAGUGGCGUAGGCGACUGUCUGGACCAACAUUGACGCUGAGGUACGAAAGCGUGGGGAGCAAACAGG
rnacentral:rRNA from 1 species